CCACUCUUGCUGUGCAAACUCAAUUUCCUGUAUCCUACUCUACGUAUUUUCGAAGCAGUCAUCGCCAUAUGGUAUACUCUCUCUAGAUUAUUUUCUUGGGCAUUUGCCUAUUGUCACCUUUUCUUCUCACUAGCAUGUGGCUCCAUGAGGGCAAAUACUUAAUCUGUUAUGUUCACUGGGGCAUCUCCAGAACUUGCCUGAAACCCAGUAGGUGUUCAAUAAGUUCUGGAGGGAUGAAUGAAUGACUCCUCUCACUGUAAGGAAGUUUGGGAUAUGUAGUCUAUCUGGGCACAUUUCUAUCUGUUCUCUUUGCAGGGGAGAAAGGGAUGAGGAUGUUGGAUAAGCAGCUCAGCAUGUUCCCCAACAUGUAAGGGAAUCAGGUCGAGUUCUACACUCUCCUUCUUGGUACACAUCCUCAGAAUGCAGGAAGUGCCUGUGCUUGCUGUGAGUCUUUGUGGACAGAGGCAGGAUCAUGCUGGCUAGAAUCUAGUGGACAAGGGCAGCACAUUCCCCCUGUUCCCAGGUGGGUCCAGAGAUGUCGCCUGGGAGCCAGGGCCUGGAGUUCUGUUACUGUGGCUGAGCUUGCACCCAAGCUACAAGAUGACAUCCUACUCUUCCCUCACCUUUCUACAAGUAGAGGAGUCUCUUCUCAUGGCCACCAUUGUCCCAGGAUGUGAGGUCUGGAACAGCUGCAGCCAUUUUGCCACCAUGGGAAACCUGGGACAUCUGAACUGACUCCAUGAAGCCUGAAGAGAAAGCUAAUAAGAAGGCAGAGAGAAGAGGAAGAGUCUUGGUCUUUGGAAAUAUCUUUUGGAGCUGCUGGAUCAAGUAUCACUUGAAGUAUUAUUGAAUUUAUUCCCCGAAGGAGAGCGGCUAAGAGUAUUGCCCAGCCACAGGCUCUCAACCACCAACCCGAGCCUCAGAUUCUCCUCACACAGCCACAGCUGUACCACAUGGCCCACGUGAAAUCUGAAUCCACAUGAAAACAAUGGCAACAAGAAAAAGGUGUAAACUUUCCAGAACAGGCCCAGAAUUUGAAAAUGUGAUAAAGAGGUUAUUGUGCGCCCGAACUUUUCACACAAGAAUUGGAGGAGAUUUAACACAUGGAAUAAUAAACAGAGGAAGGCGGGCUAAUGCAGAGCAGAUGGGCCUGCAGGGCAGUGCUCAGCAUUUCAACAUCUUUCCCCUGGACCUUUGGACCCAAGGAAAAAAAUGAAGGCUCUGAAAGUGUAAAUCGCUUACUGAAGGGCACACGGCCAGGAUGACAGCGGAGCCAGGAUCACCCCAGGUGUCUCUUCUCACGUGGAAUCACAGCAUUGGAUGGACUGAAAAGAGGAAGAGGCUGCAAUGGAGCAGCACACCUGGUGCGUGGGGAUGCCUGGAAAACAAAAUUAGGAGAGCCCUGGGUCAGCAUUGCUCUGGCACUGGCUGGGCCGGGGGCCAUCCUGAUUCUAGAAUUAUCUUGGUUCCUGGGAUAGAAAUGUCCCCAGAGUGGAGAAGUUCAGUUCAAUCCAACAUCCUUAUAUUGCAAUGAGGAUAAAGACCACAGACCCUAUGGCCUGUAUGACCCAGCUGCCCAUUUCUAGGAACCCAUUCCUACAGAAAUGACAACAUGCGUGUGCAAACAGCAACAAUGACAAACAUACCCUGGGAUGCUUUCCCUCUGUGGUUUGUUAUAGUAAGAUAGCGGCUACAGCUUAUAUAUCAUCAACAGAGGACUGGCUAAAUGAUGGCACUUCAUUCUGCAGAAUCUUUUUUUGUAGUCAAAAAGAACAAGUUAGAUCUAUAUGUGUGAACAUGGAAAGGUGUACAUGACUUAAGUAGAAAAAUUAAGUUGCAGAACGA
ensembl:lncRNA APRG1 APRG1 tumor suppressor candidate